AUUCCAAGCUUGAGUUUGAUCCUGGCUCAGGAUGAACGCUGGCGGCGUGCCUAAUACAUGCAAGUCGAGCGAGGUCCUUCGGGGCCUAGCGGCGGACGGGUGAGUAACACGUGGGUAACCUGCCUGUAAGACCGGGAUAACUUCGGGAAACCGAAGCUAAUACCGGAUAAUUUCGAGCAUCGCAUGAUGCUUGAUGGAAAGACGGCUUCGGCUGUCACUUACAGAUGGACCCGCGUCGCAUUAGCUAGUUGGUGAGGUAACGGCUCACCAAGGCGACGAUGCGUAGCCGACCUGAGAGGGUGAUCGGCCACACUGGGACUGAGACACGGCCCAGACUCCUACGGGAGGCAGCAGUAGGGAAUAUUGGACAAUGGGCGCAAGCCUGAUCCAGCCAUGCCGCGUGAGUGAAGAAGGCCCUCGGGUUGUAAAGCUCUUUUGUCCGGAAAGAAAAGCAUCGGGUUAAUACCCCGGUGUUCUGACGGUACCGGAAGAAUAAGCACCGGCUAACUUCGUGCCAGCAGCCGCGGUAAUACGAAGGGUGCAAGCGUUACUCGGAAUUACUGGGCGUAAAGCGUGCGUAGGUGGUUCGUUAAGUCCGAUGUGAAAGCCCUGGGCUCAACCUGGGAAUGGCAUUGGAUACUGGCGGGCUAGAGUGCGGUAGAGGAUAGUGGAAUUCCUGGUGUAGCAGUGAAAUGCGUAGAGAUCAGGAGGAACAUCCGUGGCGAAGGCGACUGUCUGGACCAGCACUACACUAGGCAC
rnacentral:rRNA from 1 species